rnacentral:rRNA from 1 species
GAUGAACGCUGGCGGCGUGCCUAAUACAUGCAAGUCGAGCGAACAGACAAGGAGCUUGCUCCUUUGACGUUAGCGGCGGACGGGUGAGUAACACGUGGGUAACCUACCUAUAAGACUGGGAUAACUUCGGGAAACCGGAGCUAAUACCGGAUAAUAUUUCGAACCGCAUGGUUCGAUAGUGAAAGAUGGUUUUGCUAUCACUUAUAGAUGGACCCGCGCCGUAUUAGCUAGUUGGUAAGGUAACGGCUUACCAAGGCGACGAUACGUAGCCGACCUGAGAGGGUGAUCGGCCACACUGGAACUGAGACACGGUCCAGACUCCUACGGGAGGCAGCAGUAGGGAAUCUUCCGCAAUGGGCGAAAGCCUGACGGAGCAACGCCGCGUGAGUGAUGAAGGUCUUCGGAUCGUAAAACUCUGUUAUUAGGGAAGAACAUACGUGUAAGUAACUAUGCACGUCUUGACGGUACCUAAUCAGAAAGCCACGGCUAACUACGUGCCAGCAGCCGCGGUAAUACGUAGGUGGCAAGCGUUAUCCGGAAUUAUUGGGCGUAAAGCGCGCGUAGGCGGUUUUUUAAGUCUGAUGUGAAAGCCCACGGCUCAACCGUGGAGGGUCAUUGGAAACUGUAAAACUUGAGUGCAGAAGAGGAAAGUGGAAUUCCAUGUGUAGCGGUGAAAUGCGCAGAGAUAUGGAGGAACACCAGUGGCGAAGGCGACUUUCUGGUCUGUAACUGACGCUGAUGUGCGAAAGCGUGGGGAUCAAACAGGAUUAGAUACCCUGGUAGUCCACGCCGUAAACGAUGAGUGCUAAGUGUUAGGGGGUUUCCGCCCCUUAGUGCUGCAGCUAACGCAUUAAGCACUCCGCCUGGGGAGUACGACCGCAAGGUUGAAACUCAAAGGAAUUGACGGGGACCCGCACAAGCGGUGGAGCAUGUGGUUUAAUUCGAAGCAACGCGAAGAACCUUACCAAAUCUUGACAUCCUUUGACAACUCUAGAGAUAGAGCCUUCCCCUUCGGGGGACAAAGUGACAGGUGGUGCAUGGUUGUCGUCAGCUCGUGUCGUGAGAUGUUGGGUUAAGUCCCGCAACGAGCGCAACCCUUAAGCUUAGUUGCCAUCAUUAAGUUGGGCACUCUAAGUUGACUGCCGGUGACAAACCGGAGGAAGGUGGGGAUGACGUCAAAUCAUCAUGCCCCUUAUGAUUUGGGCUACACACGUGCUACAAUGGACAAUACAAAGGGCAGCGAAACCGCGAGGUCAAGCAAAUCCCAUAAAGUUGUUCUCAGUUCGGAUUGUAGUCUGCAACUCGACUACAUGAAGCUGGAAUCGCUAGUAAUCGUAGAUCAGCAUGCUACGGUGAAUACGCUCCCGGGUCU